GUCCAUAGGGCGCUGAGAAGGGCCCUGAGGGCGUCUAUAGGGCCCUGAGGGUGUCUGUAAGGGUCCAGGAGGCAUCUAUAGGGCCCUGAGGGUGUCCAUAGGGCCCUGAGAAGGACCCUGAGGGCAUCUAUAUGGCCCUGAGGGCAUCUAUAGGGCACUGAGGGUGUCUAUAAGGGUCCGGGAGGCAUCUAUAGGGCCCUAGAGGUGUCCAUAGGGCCCUGAGAAGGUCCCUGAGGGUGUCUAUAGGGCUCUGGAGGUGUCCAUAGGGCCCUGAGAAGGGUCCUGAGGGCAUCUAUAAGGUCCCUG